GCGCCCACUUUGGCAGCACAGAGACUAAAACUGGAAUGGUACAGAGACUAGCACAGCAUCUGUGCAAAGGUCACACACAAAUCCGUGAAGCAUUCCAUAUAUGG
rnacentral:snRNA from 1 species